CUUGCAAAAAAGCACCCAAAGAGAGAAAGCUGGGAGUAUAAAAGAUGGAGAUGUGUGUAUCGCCGUUGCCCUUUUCUUGCUGUGGCGCACUGUCUUCAUAUGUUUCAUAUUGUUUUACUAUCUCCCUAAUUAUAACUGUAUAUGUUUUUUUUAAAAA
rnacentral:ribozyme from 13 species